rnacentral:misc_RNA from 1 species
AACCUAGCACACCUGCGGUGUGUACCUGCGGAGGGAUCAUUACUGAGUGUAAAAACUCCCAAACCCACUGUGAACAUACCACUGUUGCUUCGGCGGAUGCGCCCCGGGCGCGCCCUACAAAGGCGUGCCCCGGAUCAAGGCCACCGCCGGGGGACCGAAACUCUUGUUUUCCUAAGGAUUCUCUGAGUGUGAUUAUUAAAUCAAAUCAAAACUUUUAGCAAUGGAUCUCAGAUCGGAAGA